GUUUCAAUUCCUCAUAGGCAGGCUAUCGGCGGUGAGAAAAUGAGACGUGUCUAUAUUGCCUACGGCAG
rnacentral:sRNA from 1 species